rnacentral:lncRNA from 1 species
GUGAUACUGAGACAUCACCCUUUUUUGAGACUAAUUGCUUGUCUCCAUUUGGGAGUGAGAUUGUGAAUGGUUCACAUUUUUUUAGAUUUUUGAAUAGGGAUUUAUUGCCACUGAGGUGCUCUGAGGCACCUGAGUCUAUAAUCCAGUAGUUAUGAAAAUUAGAUUUAUCAAAAAUAGAAUUUGCAGUACCUGAAUCAGGAUUGUAUUUUGGCAAUGGCUUCGGAUUGUACUUUUCAGAGUAAAGAGGGAAGCCAUAUGGUCCUAUUGGAUUAUCAGCAUCCUUUGAGGGCUUGGUAGCACUGUUCCAGGGUGACCACUCUUGUUUCUCAGUACCCACAUGAUUCACAGAACCUUGGACCUUAAUAGAUUCAGGUUGGGUG